UCAGCUUGAUGGUGAGGUAAUGGCUCACCAUGGCUUCGACGGGUAGCCGGCCUGAGAGGGUGACCGGUCACACUGGGACUGAGACACGGCCCAGACUCCUACGGGAGGCAGCAGUGGGGAAUAUUGGACAAUGGGCGGAAGCCUGAUCCAGCAACGCCGCGUGAGGGAUGACGGCCUUCGGGUUGUAAACCUCUUUCAGCAGGGACGAAGCGCAAGUGACGGUACCUGCAGAAGAAGCACCGGCCAACUACGUGCCAGCAGCCGCGGUAAUACGUAGGGUGCGAGCGUUGUCCGGAAUUAUUGGGCGUAAAGGGCUCGUAGGCGGUUUGUCGCGUCGGGAGUGAAAACCAGGUGCUUAACACCUGGCUUGCUUUCGAUACGGGCAGACUAGAGGUAUUCAGGGGAGAACGGAAUUCCUGGUGUAGCGGUGAAAUGCGCAGAUAUCAGGAGGAACACCGGUGGCGAAGGCGGNUCUCUGGG
rnacentral:rRNA from 1 species